UGCUGAUGAUAAGGAUUUGAAUUCAAUCCAGUUGAAAUUAAAGCAGAGGCUGGUUGGACAAAAAUUUUUAGUUGUCCUGGAUGACGUCUGGACCGAGAACUAUGAGGAAUGGACUCUGUUUCGGGGUCCUUUUGAAGCGGGGGCACCUAAAAGCAGAAUCAUUGUCACAACUCGGAGUCAGGAGGUUUCAUUGAUGAUGGGC
rnacentral:misc_RNA from 1 species